UCUUGCUUCUUGCUCUCUUGCUUCCUGCACCCUGGCUCCUGAAGAUGUACGAAAUAAAGCUUUGCCGCAGAAGAUUCUGGUCUGUGGUGUUCUUCCUGGCCGGUCGUGAGAACGCGUCUAAUAACAAUUGGUGCCGAAUUCCGGGACGAGAAAAAACUCGGGACUGGCGCAAGGAAGAUCCCUCAUUCCAGAACCAGAACUGCGGGUCGCGGUAAUAAAGGUUCCCGUAAAGCAGACUGUUAAGAAGGAUUCAACUGUAUGAAUUCAGAACUUUUCAGCUGGGGAACGAGAGUACCAGUGAGUACAGCUUUACGAGGUCUCCUUGGUGGAAGAAUCCAUGAUUUAGUAGUGAAAAUCAUGAAGCUUUGCUUCUUCACCUGAAGCCCAGUGUAAAGGCACCAACUCAUCUCUUCUACAAACCUCACCUCAGGGAUUCCUCCAGCACAGAUUCCUGACAUGACUACCUCUGGUUCAAAGGACAACAUGACCUCUCAGGAAAUCACCUACAUUCUCCAGCAAGUAUAUCAUGGGUUGCAGUCCUGCUGUACAAGAAACAGAGAGGAGCCUGUCUUCCCCACAUAUGCCCCAGAGACACCUUCACAAUUGGUAUAAGCCUUUACCCUGGGCAAUCUUUAAAAGGGAAGGUGCACAGUUAUCUGGUGUUUGGACCUCCUCCUGGCCGAAGAUGAAGGCCCAAAACAGGAUCUUUCUCAGAAGCUGUGUUGCUUUGGCCAGGAAGGUGGCCGGUUGUCUGGAGCUGAAGAUGGCGCUGCCUCAGAAGCUCUGUGGCUCUCUCCAGGAAGGUGGCCGGUUGUCUGGAGCCGAAGAUGGCGCCACCUCAGAAGCUCUGUGUCUCUCGCCAGGAAGGUGGCCGGUUGCCUGGAGCCGAAGAUGGCGCCGCCUGCUUUCCUGUCACCAGAAAAGGCAAGGGGUCGAUGAAGAGGCUUUAUCUGAACAUUAUAAAAUCUUAAAGACCCUUGGUGAAGGUGCAUUCUGGAAAGUAAAAUUCAAUAACUGUCUCUUCGUGCAGGUUAUGGAAGCAGUUAAAAUUCUAACAAAAAGGAGAAAAAAUUCACUCAUCAAAUCAAAACUUGAAAUGAUGAAAACUCUAUUCCACCCUGCUAUAAUUAAACUUUUGCAUAGUAUCAACAAAGAACAUUUAUAUGUAUGUGGAACACAAAGUGAAAGAGUUGAUAGGCAUAAUUUUGGAAUCUGGCUACCUACCUGAGGAAGAAUGCCAUAGUCUACUUAAGCAAAUGGUAUAUGCCUCCAGUAUCAUCACCAUAAACCUAUUGCCCACAGAGAUUUAAACGCCAAAUAUUUUAUUAGAAGACAAUCCAACAGCUAUUUCAGAUUGGGCGAAAAGAUUAUCAUGGGUCAGAACCUAGCUACUUUCUGUAAGAACCCUCCUUACUGUGCCCAUAACUCUUGGAAGGUAAAGAGUGACAUAGCCAUGCAGUUGACGUUUGGGGCUUGGGUGUUGUGUGAUACUUUAUGUUGACAGAAUGCUUCCUUUACCAGGGACAUAACUGUGAAGGACUAAAGCAGAACACCUUCUCAGGAAAGUACUCUGGAAUAUUCAUGCUGUCACCAAAAUUUUGUGACACGAUUGCUAAGUUGUGAACUGUAAACCCUUGACAAAGUCCAACAGUGCAUGGUCGGUGAGCUUUCAACGGCUAAAGUAUGAUGAAGAAGGUUCUUCCAGUUCCUUUACAGAGAAGAUCAGCAGCCACCCAGAGCCCACUAUACUGGUCAUCGUGGGUGUCAUGAAAUGUAAACAACAAGAGAUAAAAAACAGAUGGGGUGAGGGGAUGGGGGACUUUUGGGAUAGCACUGGAAGAAAAUACCUAAUU
rnacentral:lncRNA from 1 species